rnacentral:lncRNA from 1 species
ACGCACACACAAGAACACCACCUGAAAGUAAGCAAAUACAAAACUCAAGCCAAUUGAAAUCCCAAAUUCCCAAAGCAUUAUUUGAAAGACAAGACAAACAAAAACAAAAGACACGAUAGUGAAACUCUUCAAACUAGCCCUUGAUUCUUUUCAAGAUAAUCAACAAACUUAGUCAUUAAAAUCCUUGGCCGCUUCCUAGAACAUUCCUUGCAAGAGGAGGCGACAUUUUUUUCGGAUUAUCACUGUUAGCCGCCUCAUUUGGAUUGUCCACAAUGAAGUUCUCAUCAUCCAAUGGAUCCGCAAACAGCAUCUCUAGAGUGAAGCUAUCAAAUACUGAGUCUAGAUUUGAAUCAUCUGGCACAAUACGCAUCAUAUUUAGAGCAUCGGAUGUUGUGCUAAUUGGAUCAUUUGGUGCAUGAGGUAUAGUACUUGGAUUAAAAAACUCAUUAGGCCUGAUAUUUGGAUCAUUUGAUAGAUUAAUAUCCAUUGU